rnacentral:rRNA from 1 species
GACAGAGGGUGCAAACGUUGUUCGGAAUUACUGGGCGUAAAGCGUGCGCAGGCGGCGCCGCAAGUCAGGCGUGAAAUCCCCGAGCUUAACUUGGGAAUGGCGCUUGAAACUACGGUGCUGGAGUGUGGCAGAGGGAGGUGGAAUUCCACGUGUAGCAGUGAAUUCGUAGAUAUUCGCAGGAACACCAGUGGCGAAGGCGGCUUACUGGUCCAUUCUGACGCUGAGGUGCGAAAGCGUGGGGAGCAAACAGG